rnacentral:lncRNA from 1 species
GUGGAUUUGUGAUUUCUGCCCUUGAGUCUAUUUAUGUACUUAUUGAAUUUAUUGGUUUGCGUAUGUUGAACCAUUCUUUUUUACUGGGGUGAAGCCACUUCAUGGAUCACAGUAUGUGAUCUUUCUAAUGUGUCAUUGAAUCUGAGAAUCGAAUCACUCAACCACUGGGUUUGAAUCACUUUCAACAGAUGAGACGAUUGCAUUCAGGUGAUCUUUCCUUCAUGCACACCAUCCAACCUUACUCGAAGAAGAUCAAGCAAAUGCACACCUACUUCCCAUCACAGACUCAGAGCUGUUGUUUGCUGUGGGGUACAGCAGAGUUCGGAAACCAUCCACUUCACAAAAUCUCCACUCCUCACCGAGAAGGCCUUCAAACCCAGAACUGUUGCAGCUAGAGCAGCACCACUCAUCUGAUUGCACAGAAACCACCAGAAGCACAUUUGGAUCUAAUUUUAGCACUAUGAUGAAUGGCCCAGGAAUGAAUUCCACUGCCCUCCACAAAAAGGAAGAUACAUCAGACCUGCCCAGGUGUGUGUCAUUUCCUUGUCUUGGGAGCUCUCAGCUUUCAAAUGGCAGCCUGGAUUUUUCUGGAUGGAAGCUCCAUUGUGUCUGUGUUUUGGCUUGGCACCAUCGGAAGCACUUUCAAUAAGCAGGGAGUCGCUUAACUCUCACCGCAUGCCUCCGGCAAGGAAGGUCUAUCCUACGUCUGUGGAUGGAGCGUGGUGGUGGCUAGGGAUCUGCAACUGCCCAAAGUCUCAAGGCCGAUAUGGCAGCACUAGGCGUUGUAUGAACCCAGACGCUCUGAAUCAGAGUUCCAUCAAGACCAUGCCUCCUCUGCCUUAGCAGAUCAUAGCCUGACCGCAAGAAAGGCUAGAUUCUAUGUCAAGAAAGUCUACUUUAAAAGGCUGGCAAGCAUGUGGGACAUUUUGGGAAAUGUUUCUAUUAAAGAAAAAUACUUUUUUUUUUUCUUUUCUUAACAAGUGUUGGUGCCUCUAAGGGAAUAAAACGGGUUAUCAGGGAAAAAAAGCCA